UGCGGAUGUGGCGGAACUGGCAGACGCGCUGGAUUUAGGUUCCAGUGCCCCUAGGGCGUGCAGGUUCGAUUCCUGUCAUCCGUAU
rnacentral:tRNA from 1 species